rnacentral:rRNA from 1 species
ACAGGGGGAUAACAGUUAGAAAUGGCUGCUAAUACCGCAUAAGACCACAGCACCGCAUGGUGCAGUGGUAAAAACUCCGGUGGUAUGAGAUGGACCCGCGUCUGAUUAGCUAGUUGGUGGGGUAACGGCCUACCAAGGCGACGAUCAGUAGCCGACCUGAGAGGGUGACCGGCCACAUUGGGACUGAGACACGGCCCAAACUCCUACGGGAGGCAGCAGUGGGGAAUAUUGCACAAUGGGGGAAACCCUGAUGCAGCGACGCCGCGUGAGCGAAGAAGUAUUUCGGUAUGUAAAGCUCUAUCAGCAGGGAAGAAAAUGACGGUACCUGACUAAGAAGCCCCGGCUAACUACGUGCCAGCAGCCGCGGUAAUACGUAGGGGGCAAGCGUUAUCCGGAUUUACUGGGUGUAAAGGGAGCGUAGACGGCGAGGCAAGUCUGAUGUGAAAACCCGGGGCUCAACCCCGUGACUGCAUUGGAAACUGUUUUGCUUGAGUGCCGGAGAGGUAAGCGGAAUUCCUAGUGUAGCGGUGAAAUGCGUAGAUAUUAGGAGGAACACCAGUGGCGAAGGCGGCUUACUGGACGGCAACUGACGUUGAGGCUCGAAAGCGUGGGGAGCAAACAGGAUUAGAUACCCUGGUAGUCCACGCCGUAAACGA